GACGAACGCUGGCGGCGUGCUUAACACAUGCAAGUCGAACGGUGAAGCACCUUCCUUUUGGUGGGUGUGGAUGAGUGGCGAACGGGUGAGUAACACGUGAGUAACCUGCCCCCUUCUUCUGGAUAACCGCAUGAAAGUGUGGCUAAUACGGGAUAUUCUGCGCCCGUCGCAUUGCGGGCCUGGGAAAGGUAUUGUUUCGGUGGGGGAUGGGCUCGCGGCCUAUCAGCUUGUUGGUGGGGGGAUGGCCUACCAAGGCGGUGACGGGUAGCCGGCCUGAGAGGGUAGACGGUCAAACUGGGACAGAGGCACCGUCCAGACUGCGACGAGGGGCAGCAGUGGGGGAUAUUGCACAGUGGGCGAAAGCCUGCUGCAGCGACGCCGCGUGAGGGAUGGAGGCCUUCGGGUUGUAAACCUCUUUCGCCGGUGAAGCAGGCCUGUCGGUUUUGUGGGGGGGUUGACGGUAGCUGGAUAAGAAGCGACGGCUAACUACGUG
rnacentral:rRNA from 1 species